ACAGAGGUCCCGAGCGUUGUUCGGAUUCACUGGGCGUAAAGGGUGCGUAGGUGGUGAGGUAAGUCGGAUGUGAAAGCUCCGAGCUCAACUCGGAAAUGGCAUUGGAAACUACCUUGCUGGAGGGUUUGAGGGGGGACUGGAAUUCUCGGUGUAGCAGUGAAAUGCGUAGAUAUCGGGAGGAACAUCCGUGGCGAAGGCGGCUACCUGGACCAGCACUGACACUGAGGCACGAAAGCGUGGGGAGCAAACAGGA
rnacentral:rRNA from 1 species